UUUAAAAUAAAAACCUAUGUAAACCCAAAUCUGUGAAAUAAAUUUAAAAAAGAGAAGUAACUUAUCCUAUAAUUAUUGUAAGAAAUUUUGAUAUCAAUUCGGACUUUACUAGAAUGCUCUUUAGUUCUCAUAACUCUCUAAGGUUUAAUUUUAUAAAAUAUCUUAUAUUAGAAGUAAAAGGCAAACUAAUUGAGGCUUCUGGUUAUAUUGCAAAAAUUUCUUUCAUAUUAGAAGUAAAAGGCAAACUAAUUGAGGCUUCUGGUUAUAUUGCAAAAAUUUCUUUCAAGUCUUAGAAGAAACAUUAUUAUUUAUUCCACACUUUUUUCAGUUAUCCAUAAAGAUAUUCUGCUUAAUCUUAACUAGUUACCCUAAAACGUUUCACUUACCACAAUACAUAAUCACAAUAAAUCUUGGCUCAGUACACUAUAACUUGCACAGU